rnacentral:lncRNA from 13 species
UAUUUGCAAGAGCAUUCAAGCAUCAGGUACUUGAUAGGACCAGAUCAGUAUCCUCAGUCCCAUUAAUGCUUCUGACAGGUAAACCAUCUAAUUUCCCUUGUGCAGAGUUGCAAAUCAUUGAAGGACAUAGAAAUGGAAGAAGAGACCAUACAUAAAGAUACAAGGGAAGGUACAAAAUUUAAAGGAACAAGUGAGAACUAUAACAAUAUUCAUUAAACUAAAUAGAUAGAUUAAAAGGAAAGCAACUGAAGACAGACUGUUCUAAGAACUAGGAGAAUGAAUCUGGCUGACGUGUGGAGAGAAGAGAUGGACCAAGGGACAUGGAUGAAUCUGGAGAACGUCAUCCUCAGCAAACUGACACAAGAACAGAAAAUGAAACACCGCAUAUUCUCACUCAUAGGCGGGUGAUGAAAAAUGAGAACACAUGGACACAGAAAGGGGAAUACUAAACACUGGGGUCUAUUGGGGGAAAAGGGGAG